UUCUUUUUGGAGUAAUAAAAAGUAAUUUCUGCUCAUGAUAUAUAAUUAAAUAGCUGCAUUUUGUACUAAGGUAGCAUAAUAAAUUGUUCAUUAAUUGUGAACUGGAAUGAAGGGAAAAAUGGUUUAAAUCUGUCUUUAAAUUUAUAAAUUGAAUUUAAAAUUUUUGUAAAAAUACAAGAAUGUUUUUUAGGAACAAGCAGACCCUAUAAAGCUUUUGGUAUUUUUUACUAUAUUUAUAGAAAAAAAUAAUUUAAUUGGGGCAAUGAUUUAUGAAUAAAAAAUAUAAAUUAAUUUAAGGUAAUAAUAUAUACUAUAAUUUUGAUCCAUUAUUAAUGAAAAAUGAUAAAGUUACUUUAGGGAUAACAGGAUAAUUUUUGUUAGAAAGUUCUUAUUGAUAACAAAGUUUAUUACCUUGAUGUUGAAUUAAUUUAAUUUAAUGGUGAAGUAACUUUUUGAGUUUGACUGUUCGUCAAUUAAAUAAUUACA
rnacentral:rRNA from 1 species